rnacentral:lncRNA from 1 species
CUUUGCCCUGGCAGGGGCUGAGCGGUGUGGCUCCCAACCAGCACGGCAUGUAAACAUGUCUUUAAAUUUAGGCGUGUGAGAUGGAAGUGGAACUACUUGCAUCUUAAAAUUAAAUACAUGUUUCACUAGAUCAGGCCAGAUGGUUUUACAUGCUCAAAAGUGACAUUUACAAGGUCACAUAGGAAGUGUUUGACAGAGCCAGGAACUGAAACCAGAUCUCCCAAGUGCCAACCCAGUGCCUUAAUUUUGCUUGCAUCCAUUUUUCUUUUCUUUUUUUUUUUUUUUUUUUUCUGAUGGCAUGUUUCUCCUCAGUGCAACCAAGGAAAAAAUGAAUCCAGUAAUGACACAAUUAAGUUGUUGUUUUUAUUUAGAGGGGCUGGGAACUCAAGUGCCACUGUUUGAAAGAUUAGCACUUUCAUCUUUUCAGCAAGGCAUAUAUUUUUAUAGACUUUUUUUAAUUUUGCCUCUUCUAUCUUACGAGAAUGGAAGCAAUCUGUUUUCAUUUUGUAGGUGGCCCACCAAGUGAAAAAAAGUUAUAAGUUAAUAAAAUUUCUAUGCAGAUUUAUGUGAACUGGAUGAACUUUCCCAGUAUCUGAAUGUUAAUCUGUUGGAAAAUAGCUGCUGUGGUACUGGAACAGCUCAACGUCAUACGGCAGGGCACUCUCACAGCAGUGCUCUCAUUGAUGUUUUCCCCACAAAUGCCAAAGUAAACAUGAGAAACUACUGUGGGGAAAAAACAGUGAGCUACUGGAAAGGCAACUGUGAUGUAUUUAAGGCAGUUUCCUUAGAUUCGCCUGAACCUCUGCUUGCACUAAUGUGUAUGUUUUCCUUGGUAGACCUCUCCUUGCAAAUUAUCUUGGAUGCAUUUGAUGUAGCCCAUCUUACUUUGCUGCCUCUGUUCUUGGCAUACACUUAUGCUCUUUGCAGGCUCCCACUCUGCCUCAGGUUUUAAUGAGUCUUCGGCCUCCCUGUCCUGCUCCAACUCAAAUCCAGAGUGUGAGAAGACUGCUGUAGGGGAAAGGCUGGAUUUUUCCCUGUCAAAAUUCUUUGGGCCAAGGUCUUACCUGGUGCAUGAAGAGGGCGGAAGCAACAGCCUCACCUUCUCACAGGACUCUCUACCGUGCCAGCAAACUACUUCAAGGAGCUUAACUCAUUUCCAUGAUGGUGGUUUCAUCCUGGCUCGUUCCAGCCCCACCAGUGCCCAUCUGCCAGGAUUAUUCAUUCCUCCCUUCUGUAACUCUGUCGAGCAAGGCAGUUCUGCGUCCUUGGUGCUUUCUGUGAAACCAUUUCCAGCAGGCACCUCUCAGCCUUAA